AGCGUAUAUUAAAGUUGUUGCAGUUAAAAAGCUCGUAGUUGAAUUUCGGGAUUAGUACGUUGGUCGUGCCUUCGGUACGUACUGGUGUUACUGGUUCCUACCUUCUGACGAACCAUCAUGUCAUUAAUUUGGUGUGGCGGGGAAUCAGGACUGUUACUUUGAAAAAAUUAGAGUGUUUAAAGCAGGCUCGCGCCUGAAUACAUUAGCAUGGAAUAAUGAAAUAGGACGUUGACCCUAUUUUGUUGGUUUCUAGGAUUGACGUAAUGAUUAAUAGGGAUAGUUGGGGGCAUUAGUAUUCAAUUGUCAGAGGUGAAAUUCUUGGAUUUAUUGAAGACUAACUACUGCGAAAGCAUUUGCCAAGGAUGUUUUCAUUAAUCAAGAACGAAAGUUAGGGGAUCGAAGACGAUCAGAUACCGUCGUAGUCUUAACCAUAAAC
rnacentral:rRNA from 1 species